rnacentral:piRNA from 1 species
UGCUGACUGUAGAGAUCCCCUAGCA